rnacentral:lncRNA from 1 species
GCUCUGCAUCAACUUGGGAGCAACUAUCAUAUAAACAGCUAUAAAACCAGUGAUCCAGAGGCUCAGAAAAGGAACACUUCCAGAAUGGACAGAGAAAGGAGCCGUUAAAUCGCUAUCCCUGAGGCUGCUCUGGCUGUGGGAGAUAAACGUUCAGAGUUCCAUGGAAGAACACUGGUUUCUACUGGGGGACAUCGUUCAUUCCCAUCAUGAUGCAAGAAUACUAUAUUCCUUUCUGUUGCUUAAAGUUAGUGUGGGUUUAUUCCAAUUCCUUUGUAUUUCUGUUACCUCUCUUGCACAGCUACCAUGCUUGUGGAAGGCAAUUGCUAGAUGGUUUUGGAGACUGAAAGCUGCUUUGGCAGGCUCUCUUUGGAGAAGGAGAUGGGCGACCCAAGACCUGCCAUUCUGAAAUUGCCCUUUCAAGAUUCAAAGGUAAGUGCU